rnacentral:rRNA from 1 species
AACGAACGCUGGCGGCAGGCUUAACACAUGCAAGUCGAGCGGCCCGCAAGGGGAGCGGCAGACGGGUGAGUAACACGUGGGAACGUACCUUUUGCUACGGAAUAGCUCCGGGAAACUGGAAUUAAUACCGUAUGUGCCCUUCGGGGGAAAGAUUUAUCGGCAAAAGAUCGGCCCGCGUCUGAUUAGCUAGUUGGUGGGGUAAUGGCCUACCAAGGCGACGAUCAGUAGCUGGUCUGAGAGGAUGAUCAGCCACACUGGGACUGAGACACGGCCCAGACUCCUACGGGAGGCAGCAGUGGGGAAUAUUGGACAAUGGGGGCAACCCUGAUCCAGCCAUGCCGCGUGAGUGAUGAAGGCCUUAGGGUUGUAAAGCUCUUUCGUCAGGGAAGAUAAUGACGGUACCUGAAGAAGAAGCCCCGGCUAACUUCGUGCCAGCAGCCGCCGUAA